rnacentral:misc_RNA from 1 species
UCCGGUUUGUCACCGACAUCUCUGCCAGCGUCUGGUGCAUGUCAAACCCAGGUAAGGUUCUUCGCGUUGCAUCGAAUUAAACCACAUGCUCCACCGCUUGUGCGGGCCCCCGUCAAUUCCUCUGAGUUUCAGCCUUGCGGCCGUACUCCCCAGGCGGGGCACUUACUGCGUUAGCGACGGCACCGGGAGGGUCGCUCCCCCCGACGCCUAGUGCCCAUCGUUUACGGCGUGGACUAC